rnacentral:rRNA from 1 species
UAGGGAAUCUUCGGCAAUGGGGGGAACCCUGACCGAGCAACGCCGCGUGAGUGAAGAAGGUUUUCGGAUCGUAAAGCUCUGUUGUUAAGGAAGAACGAGUGUGAGAAUGGAAAGUUCAUGCUGUGACGGUACUUAACCAGAAAGGGACGGCUAACUACGUGCCAGCAGCCGCGGUAAUACGUAGGUCCCGAGCGUUGUCCGGAUUUAUUGGGCGUAAAGCGAGCGCAGGCGGUUAGAAAAGUCUGAAGUGAAAGGCAGUGGCUCAACCAUUGUAGGCUUUGGAAACUGUUUAACUUGAGUGCAGAAGGGGAGGGUGGAAUUCCAUGUGUAGCGGUGGAAUGCGUAGAUAUAUGGAGGAACACCGGUGGCGAAAGCGGCUCUCUGGUCUGUAACUGACGCUGAGGCUCGAAAGCGUGGGGAGCGAACAGG